rnacentral:rRNA from 1 species
CCUACGGGUGGCAGCAGUGAGGAAUAUUGGUCAAUGGGCGCAAGCCUGAACCAGCCAAGUCGCGUGAGGGAUGACGGUCCUAUGGAUUGUAAACCUCUUUUGUCGGGGAGCAAAGCCAGCCACGUGUGGCUGGAAGGAGAGUACCCGAAGAAAAAGCAUCGGCUAACUCCGUGCCACAAGCCGCGGUAAUACGGGGGAUGCGAGCUUAAGCCGGUUUUAUUGGGUUAAAGGGGUGCGUGGGCGGAAGGUUAAGUCAGCGGUAAAAUGUCGGUGCUCAACACCGGCCUGCCGUUGAAACUGGUCGUCUUGAGUGGGCGAGAAGUAUGCGGAAUGCGUGGUGUAGCGGUGAAAUGCAUAGAUAUCACGCAGAACUCCGAUUGCGAAGGCAGCAUACCGGCGCUCAACUGACGCUGAGGCACGAAAGCGUGGGGAUCGAACAGGAUUAGAUACCCUUGUAGUC